rnacentral:misc_RNA from 1 species
AAAGUCGUAACAAGGUUUCCGUAGGUGAACCUGCGGAAGGAUCAUUGACAAAUCUAAAACAACUGCUCUCUUCUCCUUGGGGAAGAAGCAGAACUUUCUAACCUGUGAAUCGGCAGUCUCGCAAGAGCUGUUUGCGUUUUGGUGUUGGGUUGCUUCGGCAACUUCAGCCAAAACUGCACACAUAAACGUCUAACAAAAUUGUCUAAGCAUUUUGCAUAAAACAAAAACAACUUUUAGCAAUGGAUCUCUUGGCUUCU